GUGGGGAAUAUUGGACAAUGGGCGAAAGCCUGAUCCAGCCAUGCCGCGUGUGUGAAGAAGGUCUUCGGAUUGUAAAGCACUUUAAGUUGGGAGGAAGGGUAGUAACCUAAUACGUUGCUACUUUGACGUUACCGACAGAAUAAGCACCGGCUAACUUCGUGCCAGCAGCCGCGGUAAUACGAAGGGUGCAAGCGUUAAUCGGAAUUACUGGGCGUAAAGCGCGCGUAGGUGGUUCAGUAAGUUGGAAGUGAAAUCCCCGGGCUCAACCUGGGAACUGCUUUCAAAACUGCUGAGCUAGAGUACGGUAGAGGGUGGUGGAAUUUCCUGUGUAGCGGUGAAAUGCGUAGAUAUAGGAAGGAACACCAGUGGCGAAGGCGACCACCUGGACUGAUACUGACACUGAGGUGCGAAAGCGUGGGGAGCAAACAGGAUUAGAAACCCUGGUAGUCC
rnacentral:rRNA from 1 species